rnacentral:rRNA from 1 species
CCAGACUCCUACGGGAGGCAGCAGUGGGGAAUAUUGCACAAUGGGGGAAACCCUGAUGCAGCGACGCCGCGUGAGUGAAGAAGUAUUUCGGUAUGUAAAGCUCUAUCAGCAGGGAAGAUAAUGACGGUACCUGACUAAGAAGCCCCGGCUAACUACGUGCCAGCAGCCGCGGUAAUACGGAGGAUGCGAGCGUUAUCCGGAUUUAUUGGGUGUAAAGGGAGCGUAGGCGGCAGGGCAAGGCCGGGGUGAAAGUCGCGGGGCCAAACCCCGGACAGCUGUGGAAACUGCCGGGCUAGAGUGGGCGAGAAGUGCGCGGAAUGCGUGGUGUAGCGGUGAAAUGCGUAGAUAUCACGCGGAACUCCGAUUGCGAAGGCAGCGCGCCGGCGCCCUACUGACGCUGAGGCACGAAAGCGUGGGUAUCGAACAGGAUUAGAUACCCUCGUA